rnacentral:rRNA from 1 species
CGUCCUUGAAAUACCACCCUUUAACGUUUGAUGUUCUAACGAAGAUUACGAAACGUGGUCUCGGACAGUGUCUGGUGGGUAGUUUGACUGGGGCGGUCUCCUCCCAAAGAGUAACGGAGGAGCACGAAGGUUUGCUAAUGACGGUCGGACAUCGUCAGGUUAGUGCAAUGGUAUAAGCAAGCUUAACUGCGAGACAGACAAGUCGAGCAGGUACGAAAGUAGGUCAUAGUGAUCCGGUGGUUCUGAAUGGAAGGGCCAUCGCUCAACGGAUAAAAGGUACUCCGGGGAUAACAGGCUGAUACCGCCCAAGAGUUCAUAUCGACGGCGGUGUUUGGCACCUCGAUGUCGGCUCAUCACAUCCUGGGGCUGAAGUAGGUCCCAAGGGUAUGGCUGUUCGCCAUUUAAAGUGGUACGCGAGCUGGGUUUAGAACGUCGUGAGACAGUUCGGUCCCUAUCUGCCGUGGGCGUUGGAGAAUUGGUUGGGGCUGCUCCUAGUACGAGAGGACCGGAGUGGACGCACCACUGGUGUUCCGGUUGUGUCGCCAGACGCAUUGCCGGGUAGCUAAGUGCGGAAGAGAUAAGUGCUGAAAGCAUCUAAGCACGAAACUUGCCAAGAGAUGAGUUCUCCCUGUCUUUAAGACAGUAAGGGUUGUUUAAGACUAAGACGUAGAUAGGCAUGGUGUGUAAGCGGUGCGAGCCGUUGAGCUA